rnacentral:rRNA from 1 species
AGUCGUAACAAGGUUUCCGUAGGUGAACCUGCGGAAGGAUCAUUAUCGAGUUUUGAAAGCGAGACUUGCUGCUGGCGCGAAUGAAAUUUUGCGCAUGUGCACGGCCUUCGCGCUCAAAUCCAACUCUCAAACCCCCUGUGCACCUUAUUAUAUCGCGAGUCGAAGUUAGUAGUCUGAGGUCUGUCUUGUAAGUAAUGAGUAGAAGGGCGAAAGCGAGCGAGUGUUGCUCGUUAGGUAACCCUUCGAAAAUGAAAGCGAGCGGGAGUGCGUCGGGUGAAGACUUGGGCUUGUUGUUACAAACCCCCCCUUAUAUUGUCUUUGUGAAUGUAACGCUCCUCGUGGGCGAAAAUCAAUACAACUUUCAACAACGGAUCUCUUGGCUCUCGCAUCGAUGAAGAACGCAGCGAAAUGCGAUAAGUAAUGUGAAUUGCAGAAUUCAGUGAAUCAUCGAAUCUUUGAACGCACCUUGCGCCCCUUGGUAUUCCGAGGGGCAUGCCUGUUUGAGUGUCAUGUUUAUCUCAAACCGCUCGUCUUUCUUUAAUUGAAGGGCUUGAGGUUUGGACUUGGAGGUUUACUGCUGGCCGCCUUUCGAAGGGGGUCGGCUCCUCUUAAAUACAUUAGCUGGGCUUUGGCUCGCGCUUACGGUGUAAUAGUUGAUUCCGUUCACCAACGAGCGCUUGCCUAACGAGCUUGCUUCUAACGGUCCGCUUGGUCGGACAAGGAGUUGUUGUUACCUCCUUUUUCUUGACACCUUUGACCUCAAAUCAGGUAGGAUUACCCGCCGAACUUAAGCAUAUCAAUAAGCGGAGGA